rnacentral:rRNA from 1 species
AUUGAACGCUGGCGGAAUGCUUUACACAUGCAAGUCGAGCGGCAGCGCGGGGGCAACCCUGGCGGCGAGCGGCGAACGGGUGAGUAACAUAUCGGAACGUACCCAGUAAUGGGGGAUAACUACCCGAAAGGGUAGCUAAUACCGCAUACGCACGGAGGGGGAAAGCGGGGGAUCGAAAGACCUCGCGUCAUUGGAGGGGCCGAUAUCGGAUUAGCUAGUUGGUGAGGUAAAGGCUCACCAAGGCGACGGUCCGUAGCUAGUCUGAGAGGACGACCAGCCACACUGGAACUGAGACACGGUCCAGACUCCUACAGGAGGCAGCAGUGGGGAAUUUUGGACAAUGGGGGCAACCCUGAUCCAGCCAUUCCGCGUGAGUGAAGAAGGCCUUCGGGUUGUAAAGCUCUUUCGGCAGGAACGAAACGGCGGGCUCUAACAUAGCCUGUCACUGACGGUACCUGAAUAAGAAGCACCGGCUAACUACGUGCCAGCAGCCGCCGUAA